rnacentral:misc_RNA from 1 species
GGGAUGACCAAAAAGAUGAUGGAUAUGAUCACCAUUAUCAAGCGUCUGAUCGGAAAACUGUCGGUCAAAAUGGUAAAGCAGGUGGUGGUACAUGGUCAGAGGGAGGCUUUCUCUGAGGUAUGUAGCAUCUGAAAUACACCACAAGGGUAGUUCCUGGUUUCCUCAAAUGAUGAAAAUUUGAAUUAGUUGGAGUAGCUCAUACGGAUGGCUGGUCAACACAUUGGUAAAGCUAAAGAUGAUGAUUACAC